GAUGAACGCUGGCGGCGUGCCUAAUACAUGCAAGUCGAGCGAACAGAUGAGGAGCUUUCUCCUCUGACGUUAGCGGCGGACGGGUGAGUACCACGUGGAUAACCUACCUCUACGACUGGGAUAACUUCAGGAAACCAGAGCUAAUACCGGAUAAUAUAUUGAACCGCAUGGUUCAAUAGUGAAAGACGGUUUUGCUUUCACUUAUAGCUGAAUCCGCGCCGCAUUAGCUAGUUGGUAAGGUAACGGCUUACCAAGGCAACGAUGCGUAGCCGACCUGAGCGGGUGAUCGGCCACACUGGAACUGAGACACGGUCCAGACUCCUACGGUAGGCAGCAGUCGGGAAUCCUCCGCAAUGGGCGAAAGCCUGAUGGAGCAACGCCGCGUGAGGGAUGAAGGUCUUCGGAUCGUAAAACUCUGUUAUUAGGGAAGAACAAAUGUGUAAGUAACUAUGCACGUCUUGACGGUACCUAAUCAGAAAGCCACGGCUAACUACGUG
rnacentral:rRNA from 1 species